UUAACUAUUAUAUAGUACUCAGACAAUAUUAUUAAACAAGAGUUUUAGAUCCUCUAGCAGGCACUGACCAGCAAAAGCCGGUGGUCCAAAAACGGGCCUGCUAAAGCAACAAUAGUAAGGUAAACAAAGGGUGGAGAAUUAGGGUAUUAGCCCAUAAUAACUCUUUAAUGAUCCUUCCGCAGGUUCACCUACGGAAA
rnacentral:misc_RNA from 1 species